UGAUUCAUGGCUCAGGACGAACGCUGGCGGCGUGCUUAAUACAUGCAAGUCGAGCGGACAGAAGGGAGCUUGCUCCCGGAUGUUAGCGGCGGACGGGUGAGUAACACGUGGGUAACCUGCCUGUAAGACUGGGAUAACUCCGGGAAACCGGAGCUAAUACCGGAUAGUUCCUUGAACCGCAUGGUUCAAGGAUGAAAGACGGUUUCGGCUGUCACUUACAGAUGGACCCGCGGCGCAUUAGCUAGUUGGUGGGGUAAUGGCUCACCAAGGCGACGAUGCGUAGCCGACCUGAGAGGGUGAUCGGCCACACUGGGACUGAGACACGGCCCAGACUCCUACGGGAGGCAGCAGUAGGGAAUCUUCCGCAAUGGACGAAAGUCUGACGGAGCAACGCCGCGUGAGUGAUGAAGGUUUUCGGAUCGUAAAGCUCUGUUGUUAGGGAAGAACAAGUGCGAGAGUAACUGCUCGCACCUUGACGGUACCUAACCAGAAAGCCACGGCUAACUACGUGCCAGCAGCCGCGGUAAUACGUAGGUGGCAAGCGUUGUCCGGAAUUAUUGGGCGUAAAGGGCUCGCAGGCGGUUUCUUAAGUCUGAUGUGAAAGCCCCCGGCUCAACCGGGGAGGGUCAUUGGAAACUGGGAAACUUGAGUGCAGAAGAGGAGAGUGGAAUUCCACGUGUAGCGGUGAAAUGCGUAGAGAUGUGGAGGAACACCAGUGGCGAAGGCGACUCUCUGGUCUGUAACUGACGCUGAGGAGCGAAAGCGUGGGGAGCGAACAGGAUUAGAUACCCUGGUAGUCCACGCCGUAAACGAUGAGUGCUAAGUGUUAGGGGGUUUCCGCCCCUUAGUGCUGCAGCUAACGCAUUAAGCACUCCGCCUGGGGAGUACGGUCGCAAGACUGAAACUCAAAGGAAUUGACGGGGGCCCGCACAAGCGGUGGAGCAUGUGGUUUAAUUCGAAGCAACGCGAAGAACCUUACCAGGUCUUGACAUCCUCUGACAACCCUAGAGAUAGGGCUUUCCCUUCGGGGACAGAGUGACAGGUGGUGCAUGGUUGUCGUCAGCUCGUGUCGUGAGAUGUUGGGUUAAGUCCCGCAACGAGCGCAACCCUUGAUCUUAGUUGCCAGCAUUCAGUUGGGCACUCUAAGGUGACUGCCGGUGACAAACCGGAGGAAGGUGGGGAUGACGUCAAAUCAUCAUGCCCCUUAUGACCUGGGCUACACACGUGCUACAAUGGACAGAACAAAGGGCUGCAAGACCGCAAGGUUUAGCCAAUCCCAUAAAUCUGUUCUCAGUUCGGAUCGCAGUCUGCAACUCGACUGCGUGAAGCUGGAAUCGCUAGUAAUCGCGGAUCAGCAUGCCGCGGUGAAUACGUUCCCGGGCCUUGUACACACCGCCCGUCACACCACGAGAGUUUGCAACACCCGAAGUCGGUGAGGUAACCUUUAUGGAGCCAGCCGCCGAAGGUGGGGCAGAUGAUUGGGGUGAAUUCUACAAAGGGGGAACACAAAGGGGGGGG
rnacentral:rRNA from 1 species